rnacentral:rRNA from 1 species
CAGUCGCCACGGUAAUACGAAGGGGGCUAGCGUUGCUCGGAAUGACUGGGCGUAAAGGGCGCGUAGGCGGUUUUGACAGUCAGAUGUGAAAUUCCUGGGCUUAACCCGGGGGCUGCAUUUGAGACGUCAAGACUAGAGUGUGAGAGAGGGUUGUGGAAUUCCCAGUGUAGAGGUGAAAUUCGUAGAUAUUGGGAAGAACACCGGUGGCGAAGGCGGCAACUUGGCUCAUUACUGACGCUGAGGCGCGAAAGCGUGGGGAGCAAACAGGAUUAGAUACCCCUGUAGUCCCUGUCUCUUAUAA